rnacentral:rRNA from 1 species
UACGUAGGUGGCAAGCGUUAUCCGGAAUUACUGGGCGUAAAGCGCACGCAGGCGGCCCUUUAAGUUUGACGUGAAAGCUCCUGGCUUAACUGGGAGAGGUCGUUGAAGACUGGAGGGCUUGAGACGAUGAGAGGGGUGCAGAAUUCCCGGUGUAGUGGUGGAAUGCGUAGAUAUCGGGAGGAAUACCAGUGGCGAAGGCGGCACCCUGGCAUCGGUCUGACGCUCAUGUGCGAAGGCGUGGGGAGCGAACGGG